CAAACCCUUUUUCUUCUUCUCAAUUUCUUCUUCACGCGACUUCACUUCAAAUUCUUCUUCUCUUCACUGCAAACUCAAUCUUCACUGCAAAUCAUUCUUCACUACAAACCCUUCAUUCAACAAAGGAACCCCUUUGUUAAACUCUUCUCACGAACCCAGAAAUCCCUUCGUCAAACUCGAAUCCUUCACAUAAAACCUAGAAAUCGCACUCUUCACUGCCGAGAAAUCGAACCCCUCCCUGCAAAUUUGAAGCCCUAACUUUCUGGAAGGCAAUAUUCAUUCGUAUAGGGUGUGAAUAAGGUUUCAAUUCGUGAAUGUGAAGAUAUCAUCAAAGCACAGUUAUUCCAGUUGCAUACAUACAGUGUUGCCCUUAAGCAGAAACAAUAGCUAUUCACUGACACACUUCGUAAUUUAGAGACAGAAAAGGUUGACUCGGAGAACACGCUUGUUGAAGACCAGAGACAACCCAAGGAUGAAGGGGAUCCCUAUCUAUCAACACAUGAAGACAAUGUGGCAAGCCUUAUAAUUUUACAACAAGGUGGUGUGGUUUCUUCAAUUUUGGAUGCUUACAAAUAUAUUUCCUAUAACGUAGGGAGCUGGAAUUUGUUAACGAACCAAAUAGUUUACAUGAAAAGCAAUUGGAGCAGUUGUUGAGACACCAAAAUAGAAUCCAAGUAUGAUGAGAUUGUUGCAUAUAGAGUGGUAUCAAUAAUUCUGCAUAAUGGUGGAGAAGCUGCUAGUUUUAGGAUCAUCAAAGGGAAGGUGUCUGCUGCAAUUUGGUGACAAAAUUCAGAAUCAGAGUUGAUCUUUAGAAUUGUCAAGAGACUCCUUAAUCGAAUGUUGCAAGUCAAGAGGUGGUUGGGAUCCUUGCUGCCAGGGCCGGUCCCGACUUUUUAGAGGCCCAGGGCAAACAAAAAAAAUGGACCCUUAACAAAAAAAAAUGAUGUUUUACUACCACCAAAAUAAAAAAAAUCUCGGAGACAAUAUCAGAAAUAUAAAGUCUGAGUUGUUUUUACCCAUAAAAAGAAUUUCAAUGUAGAUAA